CGCGUAGGCGGUUGUGUAAGUCAGAUGUGAAAUCCUCUGGCUCAACCGGAGAACUGCAUUUGAUACUGCAUGACUCGAGUAUUGGAGAGGGAAACGGAAUUCCCGGUGUAGAGGUGAAAUUCGUAGAUAUCGGGAGGAACACCGGUGGCGAAGGCGGUUCCCUGGCCAAAUACUGACGCUGAGGCGCGAAAGCGUGGGUAGCAAACAGGAUUAGAUACCCUGGUAGUCCACGCCGUAAACGGUGAUUACUGGGUGUGGGAGGUGUAAUGCCUUCUGUGCCGAAGCUAACGCGUUAAGUAAUCCGCCUGGGGAGUACGGCCGCAAGGUUGAA
rnacentral:rRNA from 1 species